AUGGAGCCGACCUUGAAAUACCACCCUUUAAUGUUUGAUGUUCUAACGUUGACCCGUAAUCCGGGUUGCGGACAGUGUCUGGUGGGUAGUUUGACUGGGGCGGUCUCCUCCUAAAGAGUAACGGAGGAGCACGAAGGUUGGCUAAUCCUGGUCGGACAUCAGGAGGUUAGUGCAAUGGCAUAAGCCAGCUUGACUGCGAGCGUGACGGCGCGAGCAGGUGCGAAAGCAGGUCAUAGUGAUCCGGUGGUUCUGAAUGGAAGGGCCAUCGCUCAACGGAUAAAAGGUACUCCGGGGAUAACAGGCUGAUACCGCCCAAGAGUUCAUAUCGACGGCGGUGUUUGGCACCUCGAUGUCGGCUCAUCACAUCCUGGGGCUGAAGUAGGUCCCAAGGGUAUGGCUGUUCGCCAUUUAAAGUGGUACGCGAGCUGGGUUUAGAACGUCGUGAGACAGUUC
rnacentral:rRNA from 1 species